rnacentral:lncRNA from 1 species
GUUGAAAUGUUCGUAUUUUGUGCAAUUGAAAAUUUAAGGACAUGAUUUAUAUUCAUAUAAGAAAUCAGACGAUACCAAGAGAAUAAUUUGACCACCAGUGCAAAACUUACCAGUCGGAAGAACAAAGACGGAAAACAAACAAAAAAUAAACAAAUUAUGCCCCAAAAAUUACUCAGUAACUUAAAAUUUGUCUCACUCUAACAUUUAUCUUAAAAUAAGUAAAAAUUAUGUCAUUCAACUCCCA